rnacentral:rRNA from 1 species
AGUGAACGCUGGCGGUAGGCCUAACACAUGCAAGUCGAACGGCAGCACAGUAAGAGCUUGCUCUUACGGGUGGCGAGUGGCGGACGGGUGAGGAAUACAUCGGAAUCUACUUUUUCGGGGGGGAUAACGUAGGGAAACUUACGCUAAUACCGCAUACGCCCUACGGGUGAAAGCAGGGGAUCUUCGGACCUUGCGCGAUUGAAUGAGCCGAUGUCGGAUUAGCUAGUUGGCGGGGUAAAGGCCCACCAAGGCGACGAUCCGUAGCUGGUCUGAGAGGAUGAUCAGCCACACUGGAACUGAGACACGGUCCAGACUCCUACGGGAGGCAGCAGUGGGGAAUAUUGGACAAUGGGCGCAAGCCUGAUCCAGCCAUACCGCGUGGGUGAAGAAGGCCUUCGGGUUGUAAAGCCCUUUUGUUGGGAAAGAAAAGCAGCAGGUUAAUACCCCGCUGUUCUGACGGUACCCAAAGAAUAAGCACCGGCUAACUUCGUG